AAAUAUGAUGGCAAAUUGGCAUGUGAUGUCAUUUCUCAUUAUUACUUGUGAAGUGUACUUUAGAGCUUGAACGUCCGUUGUGCAUAUGAUCAAUUGCAUGUCACGUCAUUUUAUAUGUACAUUUGUUGGCUAUAAAUAUAGGUCAAAUGUGCAAUUAGUGAAACUGUUACUAUCAUGAGUGAAUUAAUGCUGCAAGGGAAGGGAGAAUCAGAA
rnacentral:misc_RNA from 1 species